CUUCGGAAUAAGGGGUGCUCCAGAGAUGGAGCCGCAGUGAAUAGGCCCAGGCGACUGUUUAUCAAAAACACAGCUCUCUGCUAAAUCGAAAGAUGACGUAUAGGGGGUGACACCUGCCCGGUGCUGGAAGGUUAAGAGGAAGGGUGCAAGCUCUGAAUUGAAGCCCCAGUAAACGGCGGCCGUAACAAUAACGGUCCUAAGGUAGCGAAAUUCCUUGUCGGGUAAGUUCCGACCCGCACGAAUGGUGUAACGAUCUGGGCACUGUCUCAACGAGUGACCCGGUGAAAUUGAAAUACCUGUGAAGAUGCAGGUUACCCGCGACUGGACAGAAAGACCCCAUGGAGCUUUACUGUAACCUGACAUUGGGUUUUGAUACAUCACGUACAGGAUAGGUGGAGGCAUGGAAGCUGGGACGCUAGUCUCAGUGGAGCCGACGUUGGGAUACCACCCUUGAUGUAUCGGAAUUCUAACCGUAGUAGUAACGACACUCGGGACAGUGUCAGGCGGGCAGUUUGACUGGGGCGUCGCUCCAAGAGUACGAGCGCCUAACCGG
rnacentral:rRNA from 1 species